rnacentral:rRNA from 1 species
GAUCAUGGCUCAGGAUGAACGCUAGCUACAGGCUUAACACAUGCAAGUCGAGGGGCAGCAUUGGAGUAGCAAUACUCAGAUGGCGACCGGCGCACGGGUGAGUAACACGUAUCCAACCUGCCGCUUACUCGGGGAUAGCCUUUCGAAAGAAAGAUUAAUACCCGAUGGUAUAAAGAGUUCGCAUGUUCUCUUUAUUAAAGAAUUUCGGUAAGCGAUGGGGAUGCGUUCCAUUAGAUAGUUGGCGGGGUAACGGCCCACCAAGUCUACGAUGGAUAGGGGUUCUGAGAGGAAGGUCCCCCACAUUGGAACUGAGACACGGUCCAAACUCCUACGGGAGGCAGCAGUGAGGAAUAUUGGUCAAUGGACGAGAGUCUGAACCAGCCAAGUAGCGUGAAGGAUGACUGCCCUAUGGGUUGUAAACUUCUUUUAUAAGGGAAUAAAGUGAGGGACGUGUCCCUUUUUGUAUGUACCUUAUGAAUAAGGAUCGGCUAACUCCGUGCCAGCCGCAGC